rnacentral:rRNA from 1 species
CUGGAAUGAGUAGUGUAGCGGUGAAAUGCAUAGAUAUUACUCAGAACACCGAUUGCGAAGGCAGGUUACCAAGUUAUAACUGACGCUGAGGGACGAAAGCGUGGGGAGCGAACAGGAUUAGAUACCCUGGUAGUCCACGCCGUAAACGAUGCUAACUCGUUUUUGGGCUAUAUGGUUCAGAGACUAAGCGAAAGUGAUAAGUUAGCCACCUGGGGAGUACGACCGCAAGGUUGAAACUCAAAGGAAUUGACGGGGGCCCGCACAAGCGGUGGAUCAUGUGGUUUAAUUCGAUGAUACGCGAGGAACCUUACCAAGGCUUAAAUGGGAAUUGAUAGCUGUAGAAAUACGGUUUUCUUCGGACAAUUUUCAAGGUGCUGCAUGGUUGUCGUCAGCUCGUGCCGUGAGGUGUUAGGUUAAGUCCUGCAACGAGCGCAACCCCUGUCACUAGUUGCCAUCAUUAAGUUGGGGACUCUAGUGAGACUGCCUACGCAAGUAGAGAGGAAGGUGGGGAUGACGUCAAAUCAUCACGGCCCUUACGCCUUGGGCCACACACG